CCUACGGGUGGCAGCAGUGAGGAAUAUUGGUCAAUGGGCGCGAGCCUGAACCAGCCAAGUAGCGUGAAGGAUGACUGCCCUACGGGUUGUAAACCUCUUUUAUAGAGGAAUAAAUUGAGGCACGUGUACCUGUUUGUAUGGACUUUAUGAAUAAGGAUUGGCUAACACCGUGCCAGCCGGCGCGGUAAUACGGAGGAUCCGAGCGUUAUCCGGAUUUUUUGGGGUUAAAGGGAGUGUGGAGGGGUUGUUAAGUGAGUUGUGAAAGUAUGGGGCUCAACCCUAAAAUUGCAAUUGAGACUGGCAGCCUUGAGUACACUAGAGGUAGGCGGAAUUCGUGGUGUAGCGGUGAAAUGCUUAGAUAUCACGAAGAACUCCGAUUGCGAAGGCAGCUUACUAAACUGCAACUGACAUUGAAGCUCGAAAGUGUGGGUAUCAAACAGGAUUAGAUACCCCGGUAGUC
rnacentral:rRNA from 1 species